AUACGGAGGGUGCAAGCGUUACUCGGAAUCACUGGGCGUAAAGCGCGCGCAGGCGGUCUUUUAAGUUGGAUGUGAAAGCCUACGGCUCAACCGUAGAACUGCACCCAAAACUAUUAGACUAGAGUGUGGGAGAGGAAGAUGGAAUUAGUUGUGUAGGGGUAAAAUCCGUAGAGAUAACUAGGAAUACCAAAAGCGAAGGCAAUCUUCUGGAACACUACUGACGCUGAGGCGCGAAAGCGUGGGGAGCAAACAGGAUUAGAAACCCCAGUAGUCC
rnacentral:rRNA from 1 species